rnacentral:rRNA from 1 species
CCUACGGGAGGCAGCAGUGAGGAAUAUUGAGCAAUGGGCGCAAGCCUGACUCAGCAACGCCGCGUGGGCGAUGAAGGCCUUCGGGUUGUAAAGCCCUUUUCUGGGGGACGAGGAAGGACGGUACCCCAGGAAUAAGUCACGGCUAACUACGUGCCAGCAGCCGCGGUAAAACGUAGGGUGCGAGCGUUAAUCGGAAUUACUGGGCGUAAAGCGUGCGCAGGCGGCUUUGUAAGACGGAUGUGAAAUCCCUGGGCUUAACCUAGGAACUGCGUUCGUGACUGCAAAGCUAGAGUGCGGCAGAGGGGGGUGGAAUUCCUGGUGUAGCAGUGAAAUGCGUAGAGAUCAGGAGGAACACCGAUGGCGAAGGCGGCAUCCUGGCUCAUAACUGACGCUGAGUCGCGAAAGCGUGGGGAUCAAACAGGAUUAGAUACCCCGGUAGU